rnacentral:rRNA from 1 species
AGUAGAGGUGCUGCAUGGCUGUCGUUCAGCUCGUGUCGUGAGAUGUUGGGUUAAGUCCCGCAACGAGCGCAACCCUUGUCAUUAGUUGCUACAUUCAGUUGGGCACUCUAAUGAGACUGCCGGUGACAAACCGGAGGAAGGUGGGGAUGACGUCAAGUCCUCAUGGCCCUUAUAGGUGGGGCUACACACGUCAUACAAUGGAUGGUACAAAGGGUCGCCAACCCGCGAGGGGGAGCCAAUCCCAUAAAGCCAUUCGUAGUCCGGAUCGCAGUCUGCAACUCGACUGCGUGAAGUCGGAAUCGCUAGUAAUCGUGGAUCAGAAUGUCACGGUGAAUACGUUCCCGGGUCUUGU